rnacentral:sRNA from 1 species
GUUGGGCAUGGUGGUGCAUGCCUGUGAUUCCAGUGGCUUGGGGGGCUGAGGCAGGAGGAUCAUGAGUUCAGCCUCAGCAAUGGCAACUCAGUGAGACCCUGUCUCUA